rnacentral:misc_RNA from 1 species
UCAUGUAAUAUCCAGUCAUGCUGCUGCGUGAGCUGAAUAAACCCACCCCGUGUACGCUGUCCUGUUGCUUCCGCCGGGCGCGGCGCAUCCGUUGCGCCCGGCGGAAGGUGAAAACAUAGCAUCCGAGUUUUACGCCGGAAUCUGUCUGAAUGUGAAUACAAUGGAAAUUUUA